rnacentral:rRNA from 1 species
UACGUAGGUGGCAAGCGUUGUCCGGAAUUAUUGGGCGUAAAGCGCGUUCAGGCGGUUUGGCAAGUCGGGCAUGAAAUCUCUCGGCUCAACCGGGAGAGGUUGUCCGAUACUGCUGGACUUGAGGGCAGUAGAGGGUGGUGGAAUUCCGGGUGUAGCGGUGGAAUGCGUAGAGAUCCGGAAGAACACCGGUGGCGAAGGCGGUCGACUGGGCCAGUACUGACGCUGAGGCGCGACAGCGUGGGGAGCAAACAGG